rnacentral:rRNA from 1 species
UACGAGGACCCCAAGCGUUAUCCGGAAUUACUGGGCGUAAAGGGUGAGUAGUCGGUUCUGUUAGUCUGAUGUUAAAUCCUCUGGCUCAACUGGAGGACCGCAUUGGAAACGGCAGGACUAGAGCGGGUGAGAGGCAAGCGGAACGUGCGGUGUAGGGGUGAAAUCCAUUGAUAUCGCACGGAACACCAAAAGCGAAGGCAGCUUGCUAGCGCCCUGCUGACGAUCAGUCACUAAAGCGUGGGGAU